CACAGAGGAGGGGUCAGGGUCCUCCUUGCUGUGGCACAAGAGGUGUGUGCACAGACCAAGAGCCCUGUGUCGGCCGCACCUGCCGUCGGGGGCACCCGCUGGCGAUGAAGGACCGACGCCCACUGCUGACGUUGGUCUUGCUCUGUCUCUUCUCUGUGUGAGUGAAGCGUCGUUCCAUCUGGUGCUGGACUGUGUUGUGUCUUCCUUGGCGACUCCAACACCAAGACGCAGUGGGCACAGUGUUUGCUCUCGUAGCCUUGGUGGCUGGCGCUGUGAUGACCUUGGCUCUCCUCCAUGGAGCUGCAGUCCGUUCCUGGCCUUGGUUCCUGCAGCAUGAAUUUUGCUCUGGCUGACCUGCUGCAGAACCAAGACCUGAGAUGCCAAACAAUAAACCUGCUGCCUGCAAGGACCAUCGCGGGAAAAAUUCCUCCUUGGGUGUGGGCACCUUACAGAAGGGACAUCACGCAGUGACACUGUAUGUGUUAGGGGUGGAGUUGGGUGGGGGAUAAAACGUCCUUAAAUCUUCCUGCCCCGGCACUGUGCUUCUGUUGGGGCUGGGGAGCUGGCAGGGAAAGAGAAGAGAGCUAUGCAGGGGGAGGAGAGGAUGAGGAGGGAAGAGGAGCCCGGCUUUCUGCCUGUCUCUGCCUUCAUGGCGUCUCUCACACAACCACUGCUGUUUGUAGUGUUGAUGAAAAUAAUCCAUAAUCAAUCUAUAAAUGAACAUUUGGGUGAGUUUAUUCUGAGCUGAAAUCUGAGGACCAUGGCCCAGGACCUUUCUUCCCGAAGGAAGAAAGGGCACCAAAGAAGUGGGGUGCACAGAGUGGUUAUAUACCCCCAAACACGAUGUUUCACAUAUGAUUGAAAUGUCCCUUUUAUAAUAGUCGCGAGACUGCUCUGUCGGCACAGCGAUUGAUGGAAACAGCUGGUAGGUCUGCUGUCUCGGUGAACACAGCAGGGUGGCAGUUCUGUUGUCUGGAGCUGACUGGUCACAGGUGAUCUGGGUGGUCAAAGGAGAGCACAGCAGUCAGUUCCUAGCCUAAGGAAAGAUGCUUAUCCCUAAGGAAAUGCCAAUGUGGGGGGAAGCUGCACCUUUCUCUUAAGGCCGUUUGUUCUUGCCAUAGUAAAUGUUUUAAAGCAGAUAUACAAUGCUGUGCUCAAUGGCCACAGUCAGGCCCUUUUGGAAAAAACAAAGUCAGGCCAAAUUAGGUUUAUACCAAAUGGCUUCCUCAUAUACUCCAAUAUAUCUUAUUGCUUGCCAUUUCAAUUUGUUAGUAGCCAGGCCAGGCAGGGGCAGCAGAGG
rnacentral:lncRNA from 1 species